rnacentral:rRNA from 1 species
AGAGUUUGAUCAUGGCUCAGGAUGAACGCUAGCGGCAGGCUUAAUACAUGCAAGUCGAGGGGCAGCGGGGGUAGCAAUACCUGCCGGCGACCGGCAAACGGGUGCGGAACACGUACACAACCUUCCUUUAAGUGGGGGAUAGCCCAGAGAAAUUUGGAUUAAUACCCCGUAACAUUGUAGAGUGGCAUCACUCAGCAAUUAAAGCUCCGGCGCUUGAAGAUGGGUGUGCGUCUGAUUAGGUAGUUGGUAGGGGUAACGGCCCACCAAGCCAGCGAUCAGUAACUGGUGUGAGAGCACGACCAGUCACACGGGCACUGAGACACGGGCCCGACUCCUACGGGAGGCAGCAGUAAGGAAUAUUGGUCAAUGGACGCAAGUCUAAACCAGCCAUGCCGCGUGGAGGAUGAAGGUCCUCUGGAUUGUAAACUUCUUUUAUCUGGGGAAGAAAUGCAAUUUUUUCUAAAUUGUUUGACGGACCAGAUGAAUAAGCACCGGCUAACUCCGUGCCAGCAGCCGCGGUAAUACGGAGGGUGCAAGCGUUAUCCGGAUUCACUGGGUUUAAAGGGUGCGUAGGUGGGCAGUUAAGUCAGUGGUGAAAUCUCCGGGCUCAACCCGGAAACUGCCAUUGAUACUAUCUGUCUUGAAUAUCGUGGAGGUAAGCGGAAUAUCAUGUAGCGGUGAAAUGCUUAGAUAUGACAUAGAACACCAAUUGCGAAGGCAGCUUACUACCCGAAUAUUGACACUGAGGCACGAAAGCGUGGGGAUCAAACAGGAUUAGAUACCCUAGUAGUCC